GAUCUGUUUCAUGGGUGAUAAAGUUGUAAUGGCUCUAAUGGAGGCCUAAUUAAUUCCUGUUUGCCAGCUGGAAAAUUGGAAGGUGGGCUCCAUGACCCCUGGCCCUCUUUAGAUAUAUUUUCUGGACAGGAGGUAUUUCCAAGCUAGAGCCGGCUGGGCAAUCCCACCUGGGUCAAGAAUAAGAGCCAGCCACCGUGUGCUAGGAGCUGUGCCCCGUUGUCUCCAACCCUGGAACCUGCUGGCAAGGAUUAACACCACAACAAGGAAACUGGGGGUCUGCCCAAGGCCUCAUUGGGCGGAGCUGAAAUUCAGGCACACAUGAGACUUACUCUAAAGCUGUGUGCAUGGCUUGGGAGAGGAACUGGCUCCUGCCUCAGAGCCCCUGCUUGGGGGGCAGCCAAACCCUAGUAGGCUGGGGGUUAUGUGCUCAUGGUCAUCAAGAAGUUAAUGUCUUUCAUUUGGCUCUGCCUUUUGACUCUUCAUUUCUGUGCCCACCUUUGAGGGAAUGGAACACAUGUUUGCAAACUGCUCAGUUAACUCUGAAGACUGCUGGGCUGUGACCUUGCCCUCAGUGUCUGAUUCAAGAUGAAAGUGGAUGCUCCCUGACCAAAGUGCUUAAUUCUGAGUCCCCCUCCAUGUUCACACCUGUCCUCCCUGCCAAACCCCCUCCCCUGCGAGAGGAUCCAGAGC
ensembl:lncRNA